AUUGAACGCUGGCGGCAGGCCUAACACAUGCAAGUCGAGCGAGCGGCGGACGGGUGAGUAAUGUAUGGGGACUGCCCGAUAGAGGGGGAUAACUACUGGAAACGGUGGCUAAUACCGCAUACUAUCGGAUAACCCAUAUGGGAUUAGCUAGUGGGGGGGGUAAAGGCUCACCUAGGCGACGAUCUCUAGAUGGUCUGAGAGGAUGAUCAGCCACCCGGGGACUGUGACACGGCCCGGCCUCCUCCGGGGGCAGCAGUGGGGAAUUUUGCACAAUGGGGGAAAGCCUGCUGAAGCCAGGCCGCGGAUAUGAAGAGGGCCUUAGGUUUGUAAAGUACGUUCAGCGGGGAGGCGUUACCCGCAGAAGAAGCACCGGCUAACUCCGUGCCAGCCGCCGCGGUAAUUC
rnacentral:rRNA from 1 species